AACUAACAAGGAUUCCCUUAGUAACGGCGAGUGAACAGGGAUGAGCCCAGCACCGAAGCCUGUGGCCAUUUGGUUACUAGGCAAUGUGGUGUUUAGGUCGGUUCAUGGGAUCACUGCUCCACCCUAAGUCCANCAAUGAGUACGGUAGUACGGACAUGGCCCACAGAGGGUGAAAGGCCCGUGGGGGUGGAGACUCGUUUGGCCAGUGGUUCUUUGAUUAGACCUUGGAGUCGGGUUGUUUGUGAAUGCAGCCCAAAGUGGGUGGUAAACUCCAUCCAAGGCUCAAUACUAACACGAGUCCGAUAGCGAACAAGUACCGUGAGGGAAAGUUGAAAAGUACUUUGAAGAGAGAGUAAACAGUACGUGAAACCGCUCAGAGGUAAACGGGUGGAGUUGAACUGCAAUCCUUGGAGAUUCAGCUGGUGAGUGUGGUUUGAGCUUGGUCAUAUUGGUCGGCUCUGAGAGUCUGCUUAGCUGCAGGUCCUUGCCUUUGGUGGGGAUGUAGGAGGCACUUAUCAAGUGCUUUACGCUCUUGGAGUACGCGGGCCGGCUUGCCAGUGCACUUCUUCAAGGUGUUCACCACGACCGGCGCUGUCGUUUGUCUAUUGUGGUUAAACCGAUGGGAUAUUGUCCUUGUGACUUUGUCCCAUCGGGAGGGCAGGUAGCUCGUAAGACUAUGUGCCGGCUGCGGUCGGUACACCAAAGGCUCUCGGGUGUUACAGCUGACUACAAUGGUACUAUGCGAUGCGUCGGAGACGGCGGCUACUGGUGUGUGCACAUGUGCUGGUUUUGCUGUCGGGAACGGGUCCGGUUGUCAUGUUGUCUGUUCAAGCAGGCCUGAUAAUGGUUCGUUUUCGUGCAGUAAGCGGUGGUGUGUGUGUCACUAAUCUUGGGCCAAUAGUCUGUGGUGUAGUGGUAAACUCUCCACCCGACCCGUCUUGAAACACGGACCAAGGAGUUUAACAUGUGCGCGAGUCAUUGGGUUUCCGAAACCUAAAGGCGUAGUGAAAGUGAAUGUUCGGCUUUGUUCGGACUGAGGUGAGAUCUUGGCGUUUCUCAUGCGCGGUACUACCAAGCAUUCGACCGUCAGGCGCAUCACCGGCCCGUCCCAUAGUGUGGUCAUGAUAUCCUCCGGGAUUGUGCAUCACUGGGGCGGAGCAUGAGCGCACACGUUGAGACCCGAAAGAUGGUGAACUAUGCUUGUGCAGGUUGAGCCAGAGGAAACUCUGGUGGAGGACCGCAGCGAUUCUGACGUGCAAAUCGAUCGUCAAACGUGAGUAUAGGGGCGAAAGACUAAUCGAAC
rnacentral:rRNA from 1 species